ACCUCGAUGUCGACUCAUCACAUCCUGGGUUUGAAGAAGGUCCCAAGGUUUCGGUUGUUCACCGAUGAAAGUGGUACAUGAGUUGGGUUCAGAACGUCGUGUGAUAGUUC
rfam:Triticum aestivum genome assembly, contig: Triticum_aestivum_CS42_TGACv1_scaffold_221322_3B